rnacentral:rRNA from 1 species
GAUGAACGCUGGCGGCGUGCCUAAUACAUGCAAGUCGAGCGAACGGACGAGAAGCUUGCUUCUCUGAUGUUAGCGGCGGACGGGAGUGUAACACGUGGAUAACCCACCUAUAAGACUGGGAUAACUACGGGAAACCGGAUCUAAUCCCGGAUGACAUUUUGAACCGCAUGGUUCAAAACUGAAAGACGGUCUUGCUGUCACUUAUCGAUGGAUACGCGCUGCAUUAGCUAGUUGGUAAGGUAACGGCUUACCAAGGCAACUAUGCAUAUCCGACGUGAUAGGGUGAUCGGCCACACUGGAACUGAGACACGGUCCAGGCUCCUACGGGAGGCAGCAGUCGGGAAUCUGCCGCAAUGGUCGAGAGCCUGACGGAGCGACGCCGCGUGAGUGAUGAAGGUCUUCGGAUCGUAAUACUCUGUUAUUAGGGAAGAACAUAUGUGUAAGUAACUGUGCACAUCUUGACGGUACCUAAUCAGAAAGCCACGGCUAACUACGUG